rnacentral:rRNA from 1 species
UACAGGGGGGGCAAGCGUUGUUCGGAAUUACUGGGCGUAAAGGGCUCGUAGGUGGCCAACUAAGUCAGACGUGAAAUCCCUCAGCUUAACUGGGGAACUGCGUCUGAUACUGGAUGGCUUGAGUUUGGGAGAGGGAUGCGGAAUUCCAGGUGUAGCGGUGAAAUGCGUAGAUAUCUGGAGGAACACCGGUGGCGAAGGCAAUCCCCUGGGCCUGCACUGACGCUCAUGCACGAAAGCGUGGGGAGCAAACAGG